ACGCUUCCUUUGCUGUCGCCCGCAUAGUUGGGUUGGCCCGUUCCCCUCCUCCUCGUUUCCCCUUCUCAUUUCACAGACGCAACUAGUAGAACAGAGUGAGGGAGAGACAGUCAUGGUGAUUUGGAGCUCUCCUCGCCGCCCGAUACAGUACAGUGGUGGUCCGGCGUCUGGCUGCCCCGCCCCCUCCGUCUGCCGCGCUGUAUUUCCCACCGGGAUUGUUUUCUGCUAUUAGAUAGCCAUAUGUUAAGGAAAUCAACUUCAUCUUUCUUGAGGUAUGUUCUUUCUUCCAGAUUUGUUCCGGCAAGAGAGAGACGACAGGAGGUGAUGAAUGCACAGGAGGGGUGGUGUUUACCCGUGUUUUUUUUUGCUUCUCCAGCCAUGUUUGUGUUCUAGAUCAUGGAUGAAUCGCUCUCUCUGGUGGCGCUUCUCCAGGGAUAAAUUUGGUACUUUCUCAGUGGAAUUGUAAUGUAAUUCUUUUGUGUGUUUUUAGUGGAAUUACAUUGUACUUUUAGUGGAAUUACAGUGUAUUUUUAGUGGAAUUACGGUGCAUUUUCAGUUUUUUACACUGUAAUUGUUAGUGGAAUUACAGUGGAAUUUACACUGUAAAUCUUAGUGGGUUUACAGUGUAUUUUUAGUUGAUUUUUGCUCUGUAUCUGCAAGUGGCAUUUUUAGUGGAA